rnacentral:rRNA from 1 species
UAACAGGCUUAUCUCCCCCAAGAGUCCACAUCGACGGGGAGGUUUGGCACCUCGAUGUCGGCUCAUCACAUCCUGGGGCUGAAGAAGGUCCCAAGGGUUUGGCUGUUCGCCAAUUAAAGUGGUACGCGAGCUGGGUUUAGAACGUCGUGAGACAGUUCGGUCCCUAUCUGCUGUGGGCGUAGGAGUUUUGAAGGAACCUGUCCCUAGUACGAGAGGACCGGGAUGGACAUACCUCUAGUGUACCAGUUGUCACGCCAGUGGCAUGGCUGGGUAGCUAUGUAUGGCAGGGAUAAACGCUGAAAGCAUAUAAGCGUGAAGCCCCUCCUAAGAUAAGAACUCCCGGGCUUGUCCCCUAAAGGCUCGAGGAAGACGACCUCGUUGAUAGGCCGCAGGUGUAAGCGCAGUGAUGCGUUCAGCCGAGCGGUACUAAUAAGCCGUGCGGCUUAAUCAU